UGGAGAUGUAGCCAUCCGGGUGGACAGCCCCAACUCCCCUGCCUGCCGCGGGGAGGACCGGGGCUGGGGACGCGGAGGACAGCCGUGCAACGGCACACGAGGAGAAACACAAGAGGACCCGCUAGAUUAAAAAAAUGGACGGGGCCAGCGGGACGUCACGAUGCGCCGCCGCCACAAAGCUCAGUACGCCACUCAUGAACGCGCUCAUUUGGCUCCCAGCAUGCCGCACGUCCGGAGGGAGCGCUGCUUACCGGGAGCUCAUCCAAACCCGGAGCAACCCACCCUGCCGCAGCCGAGGAGGACAAAAUUUGUACACUCGGCGGAUCCAGAAAUGAAAAUCAAGACUUCAGUCAACUUCAAGGUGUAUCAGAGGUUGUGUGUGUGUUUGUACGUUGCUGCUGAGGAGCCGCGUCCGCAGGCCUGAGGGGUUGUCUGUUAUCUUUGGUUAUCUAGCUGUAUGAGUGACGUACAUUCUUCAUAAAGCUAGAUAACCGAAAGUAACAAGAAUCCCAUUACAUGCCUGCACGGGAAGAAGAAAACAACAGGGGGGAAAAAAGGGAUAAAAGAAGCAGCUGAGAGGAGUGGAGGUGGACAACGGAUGCUGUGAACCAAUGACGUUAAGGUCCCUGCUGUGCCUGCAGUGAAGAAUCACUCGACCUUGGGACUAUGCCUUUAAUUCAGCGUACCUG